GCGUCUCCAGUGACAGAAGCUCUACACGUCGCGGUGAUUUUGGGAGAUUUAGAGUGAAUUCAAACUGUGAAACGUGUGAAACUGCCGGCCUCGGAGGUAACGAAGGUGUGUCCAGGUGUGUCCUGUUCAGAGCCUCACCAGCAGUCUGACGUUACAUCUUCAUGUUAAACAUCAAUAACUCCUGAUUCGGUAAUGCUCCUCGGAGUGGGCGGGGUCACAGAAGAAGCGAGAGCUGCGUUUUGCCGAUCGGGCGGUGAAGGGGACGGUCUUCAGAGCUGCAGUACCGGGGGACCUACGUGUUGAUGGCGCGGCAGAUGACCUCUGACCCCUGGCCGGCCUUCCUCAGAGUGAUGGCCAGGUUUUUGGACCGGUUGGCGUCCAGCAGAGACACUUUGGA